rnacentral:rRNA from 1 species
GAUCAUGGCUCAGGAUGAACGCUGGCGGCGUGCAUAACACAUUCAAGUCGAACGGUGAUGAGGACUUCGGUCCUCUGAUCAGUGGCGGACGGGUGAGUAACGCGUGAGCAACCUGCCUAUCAGAGGGGGAUAACAGUUGGAAACGGCUGCUAAUACCGCAUGACACAUACUUAUCGCAUGUUAGGUAUGUCAAAGAGAAAUCGCUGAUAGAUGGGCUCGCGUCUGAUUAGAUAGUUGGCAGGGUAACGGCCUACCAAGUCUACGAUCAGUAGCCGAACUGAGAGGUUGAACGGCCACAUUGGAACUGAGAAACGGUCCAGACUCCUACGGGAGGCAGCAGUGGGGAAUAUUGGGCAAUGGGCGAAAGCCUGACCCAGCGACGCCGCGUGAGGGAAGACGGUCUUCGGAUUGUAAACCUCUUUCAGCAGGGAAGAAGAAAGUGACGGUACCUGCAGAAGAAGUCACGGCUAACUACGUG